rnacentral:pre_miRNA from 2 species
AUUGUACUCCCUUCGUCCUAAAAUAAGUGACUCAAAAAUGACUUUGUACUAAUUUUAGUCAAAGUAGAGUCAUUUUUGAGUCACUUAUUUUGGGACGGAGGGAGUAUAUC